UGGCCGGACGGGAGGAAAGUAUCCGUUCCGCCGAGGGGGGAAAGGAGGAGCUGGAGACAGAUUGUAGGACUGAGCGCGGGCAGGCGGGAGGCAACGGAGCUACCAGCCGCUCCGCUCUGCUAUAUGAAAUAUGGGAGACGACAGACCGUUUGUGUGCAAUGCCCCGGGCUGUGGACAGGUACGUUUACAAUAUACUUUAUUGUGAAUGUCUCGUUGUGAAUCAAAGUGGCUGUUUUAUCACUAAGGCAAAGAGUUUAAAGCCGGUGUUUUACGUGAUCACUGGAGGUAAUCAGAUCAGAGGAUUUGCAGUGUGUAAAUCCAAGUUAUGGGGAAGUGUAGGCACUCUACCGUAAUGAAAUCUGCCUUGCUCUCUUCCAUA
rnacentral:sRNA from 1 species